rnacentral:rRNA from 1 species
AUUGAGCGCUGGCGGCAGGCCUAACACAUGCAAGUCGAGCGGAUGAAGGGAGCUUGCUCCUGGAUUCAGCGGCGGACGGGUGAGUAAUGCCUAGGAAUCUGCCUGGUAGUGGGGGAUAACGUCCGGAAACGGGCGCUAAUACCGCAUACGUCCUGAGGGAGAAAGUGGGGGAUCUUCGGACCUCACGCUAUCAGAUGAGCCUAGGUCGGAUUAGCUAGUUGGUGGGGUAAAGGCCUGCCAAGGCGACGAUCCGUAACUGGUCUGAGAGGAUGAUCAGUCACACUGGAACUGAGGCACGGUCCAGACUCCUACGGGAGGCAGCAGUGGGGAAUAUUGGACAAUGGGCGAAAGCCUGAUCCAGCCAUGCCGCGUGUGUGAAGAAGGUCUUCGGAUUGUAAAGCACUUUAAGUUGGGAGGAAGGGCAGUAAGUUAAUACCUUGCUGUUUUGACGUUACCAACAGAAUAAGCACCGGCUAACUUCGUG